GAAACAAAUUGUGUAUAACUCGUUAAUGAAAAGUUGUUAUUCUAAUGAUGAUGUUGUAAAAAAUACAAGAGAAAACUUUUUUGUGGUGGAGAUUUCUGGAAACAGCCAUAAUUUCAUUACUGCUAUUUUUGAACAUCCAAAUUUUCAAAGCAUGCUCAACUUAGAAAUUAAUUUACUCUCUCAUCUCGAAAUCAACUGCUUUUUAUAUUCGUCUUUUACCUCAAAAUCGUUAAUUCCAAUGGAGGAAGUAAACAGGAUUCUUCAGAAUACGCAAAGCAUCCCUUCUGCACUCAAUUAUAUUA